rnacentral:rRNA from 1 species
AGGUGAACAGCGGAAGGAUC